UGCCCAAUGAAAAAUUAAAUGGCUGCAGUAUUAUGACUGUACAAAGGUAGCAUAAUCAAUAGUUUCUUAAUUAGAAGCUGGAAUGAAUGGAUUAACGAAAAAUUAACUGUCUCUUAUUAAAUAAUAGAAUUUUAUUUUUAAGUUAAAAAGCUUAAAUUUAAUUAAAAGACGAGAAGACCCUAUAGAGUUUAAUAUUUUAAUAAAAUUUAUUUUAGUAUAUUUUAUAAAGUAUUUAAUUGGGGUGAUUUAAAAAUUUAAAAAACUUUUUUUAUAUUAAUACAAUUAUUUUUGAUUAAAUGAUCCAUUAUAAUGAUUAAAAGAAAAAAUUACCUUAGGGAUAACAGCGUAAUAUUUUUUUAAAGUUCAAAUUAAAAAAAAUGAUUGCGACCU
rnacentral:rRNA from 1 species